rnacentral:rRNA from 1 species
UACAGAGGAGCCAAGCGUUGUCCGGAUUGACUGGGCGUAAAGCGCACGCAGGCGGACGCGCGCGUGGGGUGUGAAAUCUGGCCGCUUAACGGCCAGGCGCCAUCCCAUACGGCGCGUCUGGAGUGAUGCAGAGGUCGAUGGAAUUGCCGGUGUAGUGGUGAAAUGCGUAGAGAUCGGCAGGAACACCCAGGGGGAAACCAGUCGACUGGGCAUCUACUGACGCUGAGGUGCGAGAGCGUGGGGAGCGAACGGG